UACGUAGGCAGCGAGCGUUGUUCGGAGUUACUGGGCGUAAAGGGUGUGUAGGCGGUUCUUUAAGUUUGGUGUGAAAUCUCCCGGCUCAACCGGGAGGGUGCGCCGAAUACUGAGGGACUUCGAGUGCGGGAGAGGAAAGUGGAAUUCCUGGUGUAGCGGUGAAAUGCGUAGAUAUCAGGAGGAACACCGGUGGUGUAGACGGCUUUCUGGACCGUAACUGACGCUGAGACACGAAAGCGUGGGGAGCGAACAGG
rnacentral:rRNA from 1 species